CAGUCGCCACGGUAAUACGUAGGUGGCAAGCGUUGUCCGGAAUUAUUGGGCGUAAAGCGCGCGCAGGUGGUUUAAUAAGUCUGAUGUGAAAGCCCACGGCUCAACCGUGGAGGGUCAUUGGAAACUGUUAAACUUGAGUGCAGGAGAGAAAAGUGGAAUUCCUAGUGUAGCGGUGAAAUGCGUAGAGAUUAGGAGGAACACCAGUGGUGAAGGCGGCUUUUUGGCCUGUAACUGACACUGAGGCGCGAAAGCGUGGGGAGCAAACAGGAUUAGAUACCCCUGUAGUCCCUGUCUCUUAUAC
rnacentral:rRNA from 1 species